GGGACAUCAGCUAGAACUUUAUCACUGGAGUUGGAGAAAAGAGGACAGAUUUUAGAGGAAAGUUGGGAGAUGGCUACUUUGGAGAUGUGAAUCUCUAGGGGCUAACAGAGGAUCAACGUGUGAACUAAAGCUGCCUUUACAAUCACCCCAAAGAGAAAACUAGGUAGCCAACUGCAUCUGAAAAACCAGCAAGUCUUCCUUAUUUGGGGAGGAGCAAAACAGAGCCAAACCUACUAUGGCCAAUGCCUGCACCAUGUGCAGGAGGAUACCAAAGAGUGUCAAACAUGGUACCUGCCUUCAGGGGACUACCAGCAUCCCUCUGUCCCUGGCCUUCAAAUACCUGCCGUCCACCAGCGGGCUAAAUAGAACCCAUUACUGUUGCCGAGAAGUGGUAAUUGAGUUUAUCAAAUAUAAUUAUCUCCUAUCAACCCACCCCCUCUCCAGUCUGCCUUUCUCAAUCAGGAAGAACUAACACCACCUUUCACGAAGGAUACUUGCAUAUUUGAAUGGCUUCCCAGGACUCUUUAAGUGGCAUACAAUUACACUUAAUUUAAUUUUUUUGUCAUUAGUCCCAGAGGCUUUGAUUCAAAGCCUGUGUUAUUCUGAUAUAAGGAAAAUAAAGCUCCACCUCAAAUUAAAUAUUUGCCUUUGCAUAUGGUUUGCUGUUCAUUGUACAACUGCUCUUCUGCUCGAGUCUUUCGUUCCCAGCAGCCACUUCUGGGCUUGGCAUCUUUUCCAGUUCCUUGUGUUGCCCCAUCAGUUGUCAGGUCACCAGGAGCCUGAGUACACUCAGGUUUCAGGGACACUUCCAGACUCCAAGGUCCCAGAAGGUGACACAUUUGGGCAUCUAACAUCUCUUGUAUUUUCCAUGUGAGGCCAGUCA
rnacentral:lncRNA from 1 species